AUGUUAACCAAUAUUGUUUCUUACAGAGCCCUAAAACUGGACUAUAAAACCAUAGAAGACAUUGAUGUGAAGAGACAGAUGGCUACAAUAAUAGCAUCAUUAUUCUAUAGCUUUGGGUGAAGUAGAUACUGCAUAUGUUCCAUAAAUUUUAAAGAAAAAAAAAAGCCCACGUGGAUGUCUAUUCAUAAUGAAAAAGAAACACUGUAACAUCAGAGACCCUGAGUGCCAACAGAAAGAAAAUAUGUCAUGUCAGAUAUGCGUAUCUAAGUGAACACGAUAUUUCCUCUCUUAAAAAUUAAAGGGAGAACAGCUGUAGCUAUUAUUAUUUUGCAACAAAUGAUUAGUUUGAUCUAUGGACAAUAUAGUUAAAUUUGCCAAUAACUUAACCAGCAAAUGUAAUGUGCACUUUUAAUAAGGAUAUGGUUUAAAUCAGGCCCAUCUGCACUGUCUCUCCUAGGCCUCUUCUCCAAAAACAAUCCUGGAACAGAAAACUGAAUUAUUUCAAACAAUUAUAAUGAUUACAAAGGCACUGUUACCACCUGCUGCUGACUCCUGGCAGUCAUCAGUCAAUGAAGGAUUUAAUUAGAAUAUUUAUCAACAAUGACCAAAACUCCUUUUGAUUUGUCCCUGAUUUUUCCAAGCGGGAAAAGUAAACUCUUUGCGAAGUCAAACAAUUAAGAGAUGCUGAAAAAUCUGGGAAGCUGCUUAAAAGAUUUCAAAUGAGGAUAACGAAGCUUUACUCAAUUGCUCUAAUUGGUUUUCUCUGUGACAGGUAUGAGAGGUCUUGAUGAUUCCUGUCACUUUUGAUUAGUGUCUCCUUUCUGUCUCAAAGGAGACCAAGAACAUUUGUUGCCAUAUACUAUUACCAAGCAUAGACAGCUUAGCUACUAGAUCACAUGUGGGUUUUGGAUGAAGGAAGCAACGGCUGUUUCCAUGUGAUGAACGUUCCUAAAUUCUCGGCAUUUAGAGAGAGCAUCUUUGUUAACUGUUUCCAUUUGUUUUGAGAACUGUCUGUUGUAAAGUGUACACCUUCAAGGUUCACCUCCAAUGCCAAUGCCAUCUAUUUCCUGAAGCCUUUGCAGAAGUUUUGUCCCCAUGUGUUCUUGCCCUUCCUUUACUUUGAGUUCCCACAACACUUACUUCUUGUUUCUUUGUUUUAGGCACCAAUUGUAUUUGAUUUGAGAUAAUAAUUAUUUGUGUGCUUUUCUUACCCAUGAGUUCCCAGAGCACCAAAUCAAGAAACACUUUCUGAGUCUUUUAGUUCUUCACAUAAUCUAGCAUACUACCUAGGCACACAGUAUGCCCCUGUGUUCACAUUUCUGAAGUAAAUCGAUUACUGCAUAAUUGAACACUGAGAAGAGUGUUUGUGCAUUAUAGUAUAUGUAUUUAAGUGAUACUUAAGAAAUUAGGAGCAUUUUUUAUAAGUGAACAUGAAAUAUUUAAACAAAAGCUCCUAAGUGAUACCUAUCAGACCCCUUGUAACAUCAACUGCUAUACCCAGGUGGGAUGUCAGAUGAUGAGACACCUGAAAUAACCAUAGUAACAAACGCUCCUAAUUAAAGGGGUUGUUCCAACUACAGAGAUAACUUUUGUCUAAAGCCAGGGAGCUCAAUACAACACCUCUGCAGAUAGCUGCAAAGGCACCCACAGACAUUCACAGGUAGUAACAAACAGAACACAAUUUUUUGCAGAAGUUUUGUAUGAGGCAGUUUUGGCAGAAGGCGAUUACACUGGGGGAUAAUUGCACUUCCAGAAUUCCACAGGUCUGUGAAAUUAGCAAUUAAGCACCAAAAUAGCUAGAGCAAUAGAAAUACAGUAGAUGGGUUGUGUGGAGCAAUGGCCAGCUGAACUUAGAGCUCUGAAAUUAGAUAAAAUCUAGUACCAGGAACCUAAAACAGCAGGAUGAGACAGAAGUAGAGAGGUCCAAAGAUGACGCACAAUUAGCAACAGGAAGGAAGAAGAAGACGCAACUCAAAAUCAGUUGGACUCUACAUAGACUUCUCCCUCAUUAGGGAGAAUCAAAACAGAACCUUCAUAUCCAAUCGCUAUGGUGUAACAGAAAAUUUAUUUUAUGUCUACAAAAAAUAUAUCAAUAAAUCAAAAUGAUGGACCCAGAACCAAGAUUCUUUUGGCAGUUGCACCUAAUGGGCCCCCCUUUCAAAGGCAAGGUGUAGAUCAUAUAACCACAAUCAGGAAACAUAAAGCAUUGAAAUAACGUAACACCACAUAAGAAGAAACCACACAGAUCUAUUGUAUUAGAAUAUUGUGUUCUUUAUAAAGGCCUGUUAGACUUGUGACGAAAGACUGGUUCACAAGCUUCACAAAGGUUCAGGGGUAAGGAGGGGAGACUUUGCCAAAACCAGAAUGCUGUGGUCUGUCCUUCAAAGAGAAACACAAAAACACCAGAACAGGCUGCAUAAGCAUUUACAUAACUAAGGGGAAAUGAAAAGGAAAGAAAGAAGAGACAAACACAUCCCGCCCACCCCCAAGCAAUGGUGUGCCACAGAUGUGGUCACAGUACCAACGGAUGAAAGGAAACCUGUCUGCUCAAAGAAGCUAAGUCCCCAGACUGUGGCCCUGGAACCAAAGUGAUAAAACUCAGGCACAUGAGGCACAUGGUUGCUUCAGGGACAGCAUUCUGAGAGGUUAGGAGCUAGAGGUGGGGCAGAGAGAAGGAAACCAGACUAGAAGAAGAGAGGCUGCCAGUAAAGUGUCAUGGAAACCAAAGAACAAGUGAGAACCUGGAAGAAAGUGCUUGGCCAUGAGACCUGCCUGCUGAAUAACCCCAGACAUAUGCCAAAUACAUGUGUUAAGUGGAAAUACACAUUAUAUGAUACAAUCAACCCUAUAAAGAAAAAACAAUGUACGUAAUAUAGGAAGGAAAUACAUAAAAAUGGUAACUGUUGUUCUCUCAAUGGUGGGAAUAUAGACCAGUCUCUCUAUUAUUCACUCUCAACUGCUAUUUUGCAAAAUUUUCAAAAUAAUUAUGCAUUGCCUUUUAACUUUUUAAAAUUAAUUUUUAAAAAGUAAGUAGUUGAACUUCUUAUGAUUAGUUCUUUCUGAACUGGCUAAGAUAAUAAGCAAUGUAAUGUUCUUUUAUUUUCUAUGAAUAUGCAUUUCUUUUUCAUUAGAGUAACAGGAAAACGCUAUAAGGUUUGAAUUUGCCUGUGGCUUAAUUGUUUGGUAAACUCAUACUUGGCAUAAGCAUUAGUCAAAUAGCACAUAAACUGUUUGUAUAAUGAAAAAAAGAAAAUGUUCUUAACAUUAUUUAUCAAAUAUGUCUCAUGCAGUUUGCAACCUGGAGCAGGGAUUUCUGGGAUACACAGCUCAAAAAUCCACUGCCCUGCUUGCCUACACGACCUCCAAACUAUGGCUAGAUCACCAGUCACCUGCUAAAAUGGUAAAGGAGAUAGGUUGCUAAAAAGUUGAAAUUAAAAUGUUAACAAUAAUUGAAUAACAAAAGGUAGAUCAAAGCAAUAGGGCCAAACUAGUUCUCUUUUUUUUAAUUUUAAUGAAUACUUUUACAUUGCUUAAUUACACAUAAAGAAUCCAUGUCAAGUGGUGAAAAUUCUAACAAAACAAAAACCCCAAUGAGAUGACUGCUAAUGAUACAAUAAUGUAGAUUUUGCUGAAUCAUUAUACAUAUAUGCAUUAUUUGUUACAACAAUAUAUAGACGGUAUCACCUGAUAAAACUGAGGCUUUUUUAAAAAAUGCAUUUAUCUAGUUAGUCAACAUCAACUUGAGUUUUCUUGUCUCUAAGUCCAGAAACUUUUUCCACUUAGAAAAAAAUCUUGGGGUGCCUGGGUGGCUCAGACAGUUGAGCAUCUGACUUCGGCUCAGGUC